rnacentral:rRNA from 1 species
CACCGGCAGCUCAAGUGGUAGCCAUUUUUAUUGGGCCUAAAGCGUUCGUAGCCGGUUUGAUAAGUCUCUGGUGAAAUCCUAUGGCUUAACUGUGGGAAUUGCUGGAGAUACUAUUAGACUUGAGGUCGGGAGAGGUUAGCGGUACUCCCAGGGUAGGGGUGAAAUCCUGUAAUCCUGGGAGGACGGUCUGUUGUGUUGGUGGUUAACUGGAACGAACCUGACGGUGAGGG